CCUACGGGAGGCAGCAGUGGGGAAUCUUAGACAAUGGGGGCAACCCUGAUCUAGCCAUGACGCGUGAGUGAUGAAGGCCUUAGGGUCGUAAAGCUCUUUCGCCUGUGAUGAUAAUGACAGUAGCAGGUAAAGAAACCCCGGCUAACUCCGUGCCAGCAGCCGCGGUAAUACGGAGGGGGUUAGCGUUGUUCGGAAUUACUGGGCGUAAAGCGCGCGUAGGCGGAUUAGAAAGUUGGGGGUGAAAUCCCGGGGCUCAACCCCGGAACUGCCUCCAAAACUGCUAGUCUAGAGUUCGAGAGAGGUGAGUGGAAUUCCGAGUGUAGAGGUGAAAUUCGUAGAUAUUCGGAGGAACACCAGUGGCGAAGGCGGCUCACUGGCUCGAUACUGACGCUGAGGUGCGAAAGUGUGGGGAGCAAACAGGAUUAGAUACCCUGGUAGUCCACACCGUAAACGAUGAAUGCCAGUCGUCGGAUAGUAUACUAUUCGGUGACACACCUAACGGAUUAAGCAUUCCGCCUGGGGAGUACGGUCGCAAGAUUAAAACUCAAAGGAAUUGACGG
rnacentral:rRNA from 1 species